ACCCAGGGCACCAUCAGAAGGGGUACCCAUGGACCAUCUGGUCUUCCAUCUUCUGGUGAUGGCAAAGGCAAGGGUGUGGCAAUAACAGGAGCUAAUCCAUGGUAUUCGGGUGAUGACUCUGAUGGAAGCAACAGCAUUAGUGACAGCGAGAGAACAGUUACCGCUGAUUUCAGAAUAUUUGUGUGCAUCCUGGUGGUUAUGGUGAUCAGGAGGUGGAUUCUCGUUCAUCCAAGAAAAGAUGAGGUUGAUCCAACUGGAUGGGACAUCGAGAAUCAUCUUCGAAAUGAUCAGAAGACCAAAGAUAAGCAGUAUUACCGCCACAAGGAUUACAAUCAUAAAUUUCGCUCAAAGCCUGAAGUUCAAUAUUUUCUAGAUACUGGAAAGGCCGCGGGUGCCACGCCCAUACAACGUACAUGCUGCUGUUCUCGUCUACUACAUGACGCUCGGGUGUACGAGGUGUUCCAGAACUAUAUGGUCAGCUACCUGCUCGACGUACGGGCGCCUAGUGGCGCUCGACACGAAGAUGAUGGAACGAUCCCUCGUGAUCCCUCGUUGAGCUACCGAGGUAAGUAUCUGCGGGCGUCAAAGGUGUACAACAAAGAACGGAGCUUCAAAGCCAUAGAGAUGGCCGGCGUGAUCGGGCUAUUCGCCAUAGACGACAGAUGCCUCAUGCUCUGUGUCUAG
rnacentral:lncRNA from 1 species